GGCGUGCUUAACACAUGCAAGUCGAACGAUGAAGCUGGAGCUUGCUCCGGUGGAUUAGUGGCGAACGGGUGAGUAACACGUGAGCAAUCUGCCCUUGACUCUGGGAUAACUGCGGGAAACUGUAGCUAAUACCGGAUACGACACCUUGGGGCAUCCCAGGGUGUGGAAAGAAUUUCGGUCAAGGAUGAGCUCGCGGCCUAUCAGCUAGUUGGUGAGGUAAUGGCUCACCAAGGCGACGACGGGUAGCCGGCCUGAGAGGGUGACCGGCCACACUGGAACUGAGACACGGUCCAGACUCCUACGGGAGGCAGCAGUGGGGAAUAUUGCACAAUGGGCGAAAGCCUGAUGCAGCAACGCCGCGUGAGGGAUGAAGGCCUUCGGGUUGUAAACCUCUUUUAGCAGGGAAGAAGCGAAAGUGACGGUACCUGCAGAAAAAGCACCGGCUAACUACGUGCCAGCAGCCGCGGUAAUACGUAGGGUGCAAGCGUUGUCCGGAAUUAUUGGGCGUAAAGAGCUCGUAGGCGGUUUGUCGCGUCUGCUGUGAAAAUCCGAGGCUCAACCUCGGACCUGCAGUGGGUACGGGCAAACUAGAGUGCGGUAGGGGAGAUGGGAAUUCCUGGUGUAGCGGUGGAAUGCGCAGAUAUCAGGAGGAACACCGAUGGCGAAGGCACAUCUCUGGGCCGUAACUGACGCUGAGGAGCGAAAGCGUGGGGAGCGAACAGGAUUAGAUACCCUGGUAGUCCACGCCGUAAACGGUGGGUGCUAGUUGUGGGCUCCAUUCCACGGAGUCCGUGACGAAGUUAACACAUUAAGCACCCCCGCCUGGGGAGUACGG
rnacentral:rRNA from 1 species